AAUCUUCCACAAUGGACGAAAGUCUGAUGGAGCAACGCCGCGUGAGCGAAGAAGGUUUUCGGAUCGUAAAGCUCUGUUGUAAGGGAAGAACACGUACGGGAGUCACUGCCCGUACCUUGACGGUACCUUAUCAGAAAGCCACGGCUCACUACGUCCCAGCGGCCGCGGUAAUAUGGAGGUGGCAAGCGUUGUCCGGAAUUAUUGGGCGUAAAGAGCGCGCAGGCGGUCCUUUAAGUCUGAUGUGAAAGCCCACGGCUCAAACGUGGAGGGUCAUUGGAAACUGGAGGACUUGAGUACAGAAGAGGAAAGCGGAAUUCCACGUGUAGCGGUGAAAUGCGUAGAGAUGUGGAGGAACACCAGUGGCGAAGGCGGCUUUCUGGUCUGUAACUGACGCUGAGGCGCGAAAGCGUGGGGAGCAAACA
rnacentral:rRNA from 1 species